rnacentral:rRNA from 1 species
UUAAGCGACUAAGCGUACACGGUGGAUGCCCUGGCAGUCAGAGGCGAUGAAGGACGUGCUAAUCUGCGAUAAGCGUCGGUAAGGUGAUAUGAACCGUUAUAACCGGCGAUUUCCGAAUGGGGAAACCCAGUGUGUUUCGACACACUAUCAUUAACUGAAUCCAUAGGUUAAUGAGGCGAACCGGGGGAACUGAAACAUCUAAGUACCCCGAGGAAAAGAAAUCAACCGAGAUUCCCCCAGUAGCGGCGAGCGAACGGGGAGCAGCCCAGAGCCUGAAUCAGUGUGUGUGUUAGUGGAAGCGUCUGGAAAGGCGCGCGAUACAGGGUGACAGCCCCGUACACAAAAAUGCACAUGCUGUGAGCUCGAUGAGUAGGGCGGGACACGUGGUAUCCUGUCUGAAUAUGGGGGGACCAUCCUCCAAGGCUAAAUACUCCUGACUGACCGAUAGUGAACCAGUACCGUGAGGGAAAGGCGAAAAGAACCCCGGCGAGGGGAGUGAAAAAGAACCUGAAACCGUGUACGUACAAGCAGUGGGAGCACGCUUAGGCGUGUGACUGCGUACCUUUUGUAUAAUGGGUCAGCGACUUAUAUUCUGUAGCAAGGUUAACCGAAUAGGGGAGCCGAAGGGAAACCGAGUCUUAACUGGGCGUUAAGUUGCAGGGUAUAGACCCGAAACCCGGUGAUCUAGCCAUGGGCAGGUUGAAGGUUGGGUAACACUAACUGGAGGACCGAACCGACUAAUGUUGAAAAAUUAGCGGAUGACUUGUGGCUGGGGGUGAAAGGCCAAUCAAACCGGGAGAUAGCUGGUUCUCCCCGAAAGCUAUUUAGGUAGCGCCUCGUGAAUUCAUCUCCGGGGGUAGAGCACUGUUUCGGCAAGGGGGUCAUCCCGACUUACCAACCCGAUGCAAACUGCGAAUACCGGAGAAUGUUAUCACGGGAGACACACGGCGGGUGCUAACGUCCGUCGUGAAGAGGGAAACAACCCAGACCGCCAGCUAAGGUCCCAAAGUCAUGGUUAAGUGGGAAACGAUGUGGGAAGGCCCAGACAGCCAGGAUGUUGGCUUAGAAGCAGCCAUCAUUUAAAGAAAGCGUAAUAGCUCACUGGUCGAGUCGGCCUGCGCGGAAGAUGUAACGGGGCUAAACCAUGCACCGAAGCUGCGGCAGCGACACUGUGUGUUGUUGGGUAGGGGAGCGUUCUGUAAGCCUGUGAAGGUGUACUGUGAGGUAUGCUGGAGGUAUCAGAAGUGCGAAUGCUGACAUAAGUAACGAUAAAGCGGGUGAAAAGCCCGCUCGCCGGAAGACCAAGGGUUCCUGUCCAACGUUAAUCGGGGCAGGGUGAGUCGACCCUAAGGCGAGGCCGAAAGGCGUAGUCGAUGGGAAACAGGUUAAUAUUCCUGUACUUGGUGUUACUGCGAAGGGGGGACGGAGAAGGCUAUGUUGGCCGGGCGACGGUUGUCCCGGUUUAAGCGUGUAGGCUGGUUUUCCAGGCAAAUCCGGAAAAUCAAGGCUGAGGCGUGAUGACGAGGCACUACGGUGCUGAAGCAACAAAUGCCCUGCUUCCAGGAAAAGCCUCUAAGCAUCAGGUAACAUCAAAUCGUACCCCAAACCGACACAGGUGGUCAGGUAGAGAAUACCAAGGCGCUUGAGAGAACUCGGGUGAAGGAACUAGGCAAAAUGGUGCCGUAACUUCGGGAGAAGGCACGCUGAUAUGUAGGUGAAGCGACUUGCUCGUGGAGCUGAAAUCAGUCGAAGAUACCAGCUGGCUGCAACUGUUUAUUAAAAACACAGCACUGUGCAAACACGAAAGUGGACGUAUACGGUGUGACGCCUGCCCGGUGCCGGAAGGUUAAUUGAUGGGGUUAGCGCAAGCGAAGCUCUUGAUCGAAGCCCCGGUAAACGGCGGCCGUAACUAUAACGGUCCUAAGGUAGCGAAAUUCCUUGUCGGGUAAGUUCCGACCUGCACGAAUGGCGUAAUGAUGGCCAGGCUGUCUCCACCCGAGACUCAGUGAAAUUGAACUCGCUGUGAAGAUGCAGUGUACCCGCGGCAAGACGGAAAGACCCCGUGAACCUUUACUAUAGCUUGACACUGAACAUUGAGCCUUGAUGUGUAGGAUAGGUGGGAGGCUUUGAAGUGUGGACGCCAGUCUGCAUGGAGCCGACCUUGAAAUACCACCCUUUAAUGUUUGAUGUUCUAACGUUGACCCGUAAUCCGGGUUGCGGACAGUGUCUGGUGGGUAGUUUGACUGGGGCGGUCUCCUCCUAAAGAGUAACGGAGGAGCACGAAGGUUGGCUAAUCCUGGUCGGACAUCAGGAGGUUAGUGCAAUGGCAUAAGCCAGCUUGACUGCGAGCGUGACGGCGCGAGCAGGUGCGAAAGCAGGUCAUAGUGAUCCGGUGGUUCUGAAUGGAAGGGCCAUCGCUCAACGGAUAAAAGGUACUCCGGGGAUAACAGGCUGAUACCGCCCAAGAGUUCAUAUCGACGGCGGUGUUUGGCACCUCGAUGUCGGCUCAUCACAUCCUGGGGCUGAAGUAGGUCCCAAGGGUAUGGCUGUUCGCCAUUUAAAGUGGUACGCGAGCUGGGUUUAGAACGUCGUGAGACAGUUCGGUCCCUAUCUGCCGUGGGCGCUGGAGAACUGAGGGGGGCUGCUCCUAGUACGAGAGGACCGGAGUGGACGCAUCACUGGUGUUCGGGUUGUCAUGCCAAUGGCACUGCCCGGUAGCUAAAUGCGGAAGAGAUAAGUGCUGAAAGCAUCUAAGCACGAAACUUGCCCCGAGAUGAGUUCUCCCUGACCCUUUAAGGGUCCUGAAGGAACGUUGAAGACGACGACGUUGAUAGGCCGGGUGUGUAAGCGCAGCGAUGCGUUGAGCUAACCGGUACUAAUGAACCGUGAGGCUUAACCUU